AAUUUAACUUUUUGUAGUAUUGUUUUUACUGUUUCAUGUUAUCAUCUAAUCGUAUUUUUAUUAAACAAUUUCCAAUUAAUUAUUCAAUUUUCUCAGUUUAAUUAUUCAAUUCACGUUUAUUGUUAAUCCUCCACAAAAAUGAUUAAUGCUUGAAUGUUUGUACAGAUGGAACAUACUUUAGAGCAAAGAUAUUACGCGAAUACCUAAAGAUGCAAGUUAUUGAAAAUGUUUUUGUUCAAACCGGUCCAGUUUUCACCAGCGGAUAUUUUACAUAUUUACGUUAUUAAUCAUUAAGACGACGACUUCUUGAUAAUCUAAAAAUAAUUGCUUCCAAACUAUGUACUUAAAAUUAGCGAUAAUCCAACGAUACAUGAAGAGCAAUAAAGAAAUCUUGUCUAAGUCCUCUACGUUGGCAGUUUUGCGUGCAAAGCAAUUAAAUCGUCAAGAUUAUAACCAUUGGAAUAGAAUCAAUCAACAAACUGAUAACAAUUGUGAAUAACAAAGUCUGAGAAAAGGUCUAAAGAGAACCAACAAUAGACUGAAGUCAAACAAAGCAAGUUCAUCAAUCAAUCGGAGGAUCACCAAAUGGCCAAAUAAACCAGAUUAACCAAGCCAACCAAAUUUCAAUUAUAGCUGAAUCAACAUUGAUAAACCAAAAAGUCAUGUUUACUGUCAAUCCAAAUUUCUAAUGAUGAAAGCCAAUCCAGCAAUCAAUUGAUUAUGUGAUUACCAUAACGAGCUUGAACGAUGAAAUGUUACUAAAAUCAAGGAAAUGCUGUUGACAAAACAAAGCGCACAAAAGCACCAAAGAUACACUUCUGGGAAUUCAUUUGGCCUGAUUUCGUAUCGUUGGUAACCUCAUUAACAGCUAUCAUCAUCAUCUGUAUCAUUAUUAUAAUUGUUUCUAACUCAUCUGUUCAAUAUAUUUCAUCAUAAUUUCCCCGUUGAUUCCAGUCUAUUCGCUUCGAUUAACUUGUCAUCUAAAAAUACAGUAAAAACACAGCACAUAAUCCUCCAUAGAUAACAUUUACCGAAACUAAUUAUAAAUCUGUUAAAGGCCUGAUGUAAGCCUAACUCGAAAUUAUUAAUAAUCACUUUUAUUUAUGUACAGUUUAUACAUAACCUGUAUAACAAUUAAAAAAAGCCCAGAACAUAAUUAUCCAA